rnacentral:rRNA from 1 species
CAGCCGCCGCGGUAAUACGUAGGGUGCAAGCGUUAAUCGGAAUUACUGGGCGUAAAGCGUGCGCAGGCGGUUCGGAAAGAAAGAUGUGAAAUCCCAGAGCUUAACUUUGGAACUGCAUUUUUAACUACCGGGCUAGAGUGUGUCAGAGGGAGGUGGAAUUCCGCGUGUAGCAGUGAAAUGCGUAGAUAUGCGGAGGAACACCGAUGGCGAAGGCAGCCUCCUGGGAUAACACUGACGCUCAUGCACGAAAGCGUGGGGAGCAAACAGGAUUAGAUACCCUGGUAGUCCACGCCCUAAACGAUGUCAACUAGCGGUUGGGGCCUUCGGGCCUUGGUAGCGCAGCUAACGCGUGAAGUUGACCGCCUGGGGAGUACGGUCGCAAGAUUAAAACUUAAAGGAAUUGGCGGG